rnacentral:pre_miRNA from 1 species
AGUAGAACUGUUGGGUGGUAUGGUAAUUCUAGUUUUACCUUUUUGAGGAACUGCCAUACUACUAUUUUCUGAGGUGACUACACCAUUUUACAUUUCCACUGGUAGU